rnacentral:rRNA from 1 species
UACGGGGGGGGCAAGCGUUGUUCGGAAUUACUGGGCGUAAAGGGCUCGUAGGCGGCCAACUAAGUCGGACGUGAAAUCCCCAGGCUUAACUUGGGAACUGCAUCCGAUACUGGAUGGCUUGAAUCCGGGAGAGGGAUGCAGAAUUCCAGGUGUAGCGGUGAAAUGCGUAGAUAUCUGGAGGAAUACCGGUGGCGAAGGCGGCAUCCUGGACCGGCAUUGACGCUGAGUGAGCGAAAGCCAGGGGAGCAAACGGG